GAAGCCCUCAUUGUUCCUAUACCCCUUCCCACCCCAACUCAUCUGAUUCGAUUGCUAAUGUCUGAAAUUUUAUCCUCUGAAUUUGAUUCCUUUGAUAUUGAAGUGCAGACACUCCUGGGAAGAAUGAGUCACUCACACUUUAUUGUGAAUGAGGCUCAGGGGCUGGGUUAUGAAAAGGGAGAUGGAAUUAAAACCAAGAGAGCUCCGGCGACUGGUGCAGCUGUUCUUGCCACAGAAAGACUGCCAAGUGCGUAGGCGGCUUUGCUCCUCGCUAGCUCUGCAAACUGGAGUCACUUGAUCUCCUUAACCUCGGUGAUCACAGAUGAGAUAUGGAGUAAUAAUGCUUCCUGCUUUACCUGAUAGCAUUAUGUGGAGGCUCAAAUGAGAGUAAAUGGGUCACAAAAAAUUUGCAAACUGUGAAGUGCCAUGCAAAGUAAAGACAUUAAAGGGCAGGACCCAAGGGGAAAAGAAAUGUGGCCAAGGCAUCAUCUACCCACGUCACAACUCAGGUGGAUCCUGGUGCUACUUCAUAAUCACACUCAGAAUUCUGACGAUUAAGAUGACCAGGAUUCAUGUGUUGCCUUCUGGAUAUCAUCGUGCUAAACAGGUCCAGCUUACAAAAGAAACGAGUGAAAGAAUAAGACAUAGAAAGUUAUAGAAGGCUUCAGAACGUGCACAAUCAAGAUGAAUAUAUUCCUGGUCCAGGAGCUCAGAAAAAGGCAUCAUCUUAAAUGUAUUUCUUAUUAUUGGCUCAGAAUUUUUGUGUCCUGGAAGUAGUACGUAUGCAUGAGACACACACGAUGGAGGCGGCUUUGUGGUUUCACAGAUUUAUUUUUUAUUUUUUUAUUAAGAUUUUAUUAUUUUUUUCCUUUUUCUCCCCAAAGCCCCCAGUACAUAGUUGUAUAUUCUUUGUUGUGGGUCCUUCUAGUUGUGGCAUGUGGGACACCGCCCCAGCAUGGCUCAAUGAGUGGUGCCAUGUCCGCACCCAGGAUUCGAACCGAUGAAGCACUGGGCCGCCUGCAGUGGAGCACGUGAACUUAACCUCUCGGCCAUGGGGCCAGCCCCCACAAUUUGGAUUUUAAUGAAAUAAAAAAUGUCUGACGUGCUUGACUGUAUCAUCACAUAAGAAAAUUUGGAAACAAAUGUCUACAAAC
rnacentral:lncRNA from 1 species